GGGAUAACUUCGGGAAACCGGAGCUAAUACCGGAUAAUAUUUUGAACCGCAUGGUUCAAAAGUGAAAGACGGUCUUGCUGUCACUUAUAGAUGGAUCCGCGCUGCGUUAGCUAGUUGGUAAGGUAACGGCUUACCAAGGCAACGAUGCAUAGCCGACCUGAGAGGGUGAUCGGCCACACUGGAACUGAGACACGGUCCAG
rnacentral:rRNA from 1 species